rnacentral:rRNA from 1 species
GGGCGUAAAGAGCUCGUAGGUGGUUUGUCGCGUUGUUCGUGAAAUCUCACAACUCAAUUGUGAGCGUGCGGGCGAUACGGGCAGACUGGAGUACUGCAGGGGAGACUGGAAUUCCUGGUGUGGCGGUGGAAUGCGCAGAUAUCAGGAGGAACACCGGUGGCGAAGGCGGGUCUCUGGGCAGUAACUGACGCUGAGGAGCGAAAGCGUGGGGAGCGAACAGGAUUAGAUACCCUGGUAGUCCACGCCGUAAACGGUGGGUACUAGGUGUGGGUUUCCUUCCUUGGGAUCCGUGCCGUAGCUAACGCAUUAAGUACCCCGCCUGGGGAGUACGGCCGCAAGGCUAAAACUCAAAGAAAUUGACGGGGGCCCGCACAAGCGGCGGAGCAUGUGGAUUAAUUCGAUGCAACGCGAAGAACCUUACCUGGGUUUGACAUGCACAGGACGACGGCAGAGAUGUCGUUUCCCUUGUGGCCUGUGUGCAGGUGGUGCAUGGCUGUCGUCAGCUCGUGUCGUGAGAUGUUGGGUUAAGUCCCGCAACGAGCGCAACCCUUGUCUCAUGUUGCCAGCGGGUAAUGCCGGGGACUCGUGAGAGACUGCCGGGGUCAACUCGGAGGAAGGUAAU